rnacentral:rRNA from 1 species
ACUCCUACGGGAGGCAGCAGUGGGGAAUAUUGCGCAAUGGGCGAAAGCCUGACGCAGCAAUGCCGCGUGAGUGAGGAAGGCCUUCGGGUUGUAAAACUCUGUCAGAUAGGAAGAAUUGCCAAGGGUCCAAUAGGCCCUUGGAGUGACGGUACUAUCAAAGGAAGCACCGGCUAACUUCGUGCCAGCAGCCGCGGUAAUACGAAGGGUGCAAGCGUUGUUCGGAUUUAUUGGGCGUAAAGCGCGCGCAGGCGGGCAGCUAAGUCAGAUGUGAAAUCUCGGGGCUCAACCC